rnacentral:rRNA from 1 species
AGUUUAAUGGUUAUAAUAUUAAAUUAAUCCUGCCCAGUGAUUUUUUUUUAACGGCCGCAGUACCUUGACUGUGCUAAGGUAGCAUAAUCAAUUGGCUUUUAAUUAAGGUCUGGAAUGAACGGAUAUAUGAGAAUAAUACUGUCUUUAUAAUAUUUUUGUUAACUUAUUUAUCAGGUGAAAAUACCUGUAUUUAAACAAAAGACGAGAAGACCCUUAGAGUUUUUAUAAUAUUUUUUUGUUUGUUUUUUGUUGGGGCGACAAGUAAUCAUUCAAACAUUACGUAUAAAUUUUGAUUCGAGUUUUUUAAAGAAAAUUAAACUACCUUAGGGAUAACAGCUUUAUAUAUUUAUAUGUUUGUGACCUCGAUGUUGGACUAGGAACUAUAUGGCUAGCAGUCAAAAUAGAUUUGUUCUGUUCGAACAAUUAUAUCC